rnacentral:misc_RNA from 1 species
CGGAACCAAGAGAUCCGUUGUUGAAAGUUUUAACGAUUUUUCUUAUAUGAAAACUCAGACUGCAAACUUCAGACAGUGUUCAAUGUUGGAGUCUCCGGCGGGCGCGGGCCCGGGGGGCUAGAGAGCCCCCCCGGCGGCCAUGAAGGCGGGCCCGCCGAAGCAACAGGGUACAAGAGACACGGAUGGGAGGUUGGACCCAGAGGGCCCGCACUCGGUAAUGAUCCUU